rnacentral:lncRNA from 1 species
UGUUUUUAAAGUACACAUUUCUUUAUUGUUCAGAAGGAAAAACUAGUGGCUACAGAGAAAAUUCCAACUUGAGAGGGUCUUAUUAUUACUACUACAUCUUUCAUUUCAUCCUCGGGGUGCUUAUUAUAAGUGAAUUUUUACAGUUAUUGCUUCCUAAUCCAACAUGGAUGAAAAUUGACACCAUCUUUACAGACAUGGGAGACCACACAAUGAUGAUGGAAAGUUGCCUCUCUGGAUGCCUUAUUACCUAGGCCCCUGUCUGGCCCCACUGCCCCGGAUCCACACCAAGAGAAGCAAAGCCAGGAAAACGGCUUCUGAUGGAAGUUUUGAUGGUAAGCAGCAGAGGAGGAAAGAUAUCUUUGUGCUGUCUCCCUCAGACCGAAGCUAUCCAACCAGCACCCGCCCAAAACCUGCACCCACAAAACCUGCACCCUGGCCCUGCGGCCACCCACUCUCGUACCAGAGAGAGGCAGCGAACUCAUGUGUUACAUACCAGACACAGUGGGCAGCACU